rnacentral:rRNA from 1 species
CCUACGGGAGGCUGCAGUGGGGAAUAUUGCACAAUGGGGGAAACCCUGAUGCAGCGACGCCGCGUGAGUGAAGAAGUAAUUCGUUACGUAAAGCUCUAUCAGCAGGGAAGAAAAACUGAACUUACGGCCAGUAGACGGUACCUGAGUAAGAAGCACCGGCUAACUACGUGCCAGCAGCCGCGGUAAUACGUAGGGGGCAAGCGUUAUCCGGAUUUACUGGGUGGAAAGGGAGCGUAGGCGGUGCGCCAAGUCUGGAGUGAAAUGCCGCAGCUUAACUGCGGAACUGCUUUGGAAACUGGCGAACUAGAGUGCGGGAGAGGUAAGCGGAAUUCCUGGUGUAGCGGUGAAAUGCGUAGAUAUUAGGAGGAACACCGGUGGCGAAGGCGGCUUACUGGACCGUAACUGACGUUGAGGCGCGAAAGCGUGGGGAGCAAACAGGAUUAGAUACCCGAGUAGUC